rnacentral:rRNA from 1 species
CCUACGGGAGGCUGCAGUGGGGAAUAUUGGACAAUGGGCGAAAGCCUGAUCCAGCCAUGCCGCGUGUGUGAAGAAGGCCUUCGGGUUGUAAAGCACUUUCAGUGGGGAAGAAAGCCUUGGGGCUAAUACCCUCGAGGAAGGACAUCACCCACAGAAGAAGCACCGGCUAACUCCGUGCCAGCAGCCGCGGUAAUACGGAGGGUGCGAGCGUUAAUCGGAAUUACUGGGCGUAAAGCGCGCGUAGGCGGUCUGAUAAGCCGGUUGUGAAAGCCCCGGGCUCAACCUGGGAACGGCAUCCGGAACUGUCAGGCUAGAGUGCAGGAGAGGAAGGUAGAAUUCCCGGUGUAGCGGUGAAAUGCGUAGAGAUCGGGAGGAAUACCAGUGGCGAAGGCGGCCAUCUGGACUGACACUGACGCUGAGGUGCGAAAGCGUGGGUAGCAAACAGGAUUAGAUACCCCAGUAGUC